GCCCGCGAUGCCUCUACACAAGUAUCCCGUGUGGCUCUGGAAGCGGUUGCAGCUACGGGAGGGCAUCUGUUCCCGCCUGCCCGGCCACUACCUGCGCUCCCUGGAGGAGGAGCGGACGCCCACUCCCGUGCACUACAGGCCUCACGGGGCCAAGUUCAAGAUCAACCCCAAGAACGGGCAGCGGGAGCGUGUGGAGGACGUGCCCAUCCCCAUCUACUUUCCCCCCGAGUCCCAGCGGGGGUUGUGGGGCGGCGAGGGCUGGAUCCGGGGCCAAAUAUAUGCCAACAACGACAAGAGGCUGAAGAAGGUGUGGAAGCCACAGCUGUUUGAGCGAGAGCUCUACAGUGAGAUCCUAGACAAGAAGUUCACAGUGACUGUGACCAUGCGGACCCUGGACCUCAUCGAUGAGGCUUACGGGCUCGACUUUUACAUCCUCAAGGCAAGCAGGGUGGGGCGAGUCAGUGCACAGCAGGGUCCGGGAUGGGCCAGUCAGACUCAAGGGAGCCCCAGGUCAGCAUCACACCGGGGCACGCUGGCAUCUGCACAGGAGGGUCACUGGGAAAGUGUGAGUGGGGCCAUGCCCCUUUCUGGCCAGCGCCAGUGGCAUUUCCUGCCUGCACGAGAGGCUGUCGCUCUGUGGGUGGCUGACUUGCCCAUGGGGCCUGAGCAAGCAUAGCCACCCCUUUCCCUGCUCUUGGACUUGCUUCUGUCCUGAUCCCACCCCCCGUGCUGGGGUGCUGACGUGGCCCCACCUGGGCCUUCUCUGUCCUGUCCUGGGACCACCAGCGGCUAGAGAGGAGCCAGGUGGGUUGGCUGGAAGGGUAGGCGGGGCCCUGCCACCAGCACCUGGCCCCAUGUGAGCCUUCUGCCAGACCCCGAAGGAGGACCUGUGCUCCAAGUUUGGGAUGGACCUGAAGCGAGGAAUGCUGCUGCGGCUUGCCCGGCAGGACCCCCAGCUGCACCCCGAGGACCCUGAGCGGCGGGCAGCCAUCUACGACAAGUACAAGGAAUUUGCCAUCCCAGAGGAGGAGGCAGAGUGGGUGGGCCUCACGCUGGAGGAGGCCAUUGAGAAGCAGAGACUCCUGGAGGAGAAGGACCCUGUACCUCUGUUCAAGAUCUAUGUGGCGGAGCUGAUCCAGCAGCUGCAGCAGCAGGCACUGUCAGAGCCGGCGGUGGUGCAGAAGAGAGCCAGUGGCCAGUGACCACACAGCUCCUCCAUGCCUGACCAACAGGCCCAGCCUUCCCUGCCAGGCCCUUUGCACUGAGGACACAGAUCCCGGGGAGCUGUGAGGGCUACCGGUGGGCAGUGGGUGGAUCCUGGUUUCGUGUGCUGCCGAUGCACCUUCCAGCCCGGGGCCAGCUUGGCAGGGAUCCCCAGGAGGCCUGGGCCGCCCAGAGGCUCCUCUCAGGCUGGGCCCCCACGUUUGUAGCAGUGUUCCUUGUGCCUGUGGGGCCGGGAGUGAGUAAAGUCUGGGCCAG
rnacentral:sRNA from 1 species